rfam:Candidatus Azobacteroides pseudotrichonymphae genomovar. CFP2 DNA, complete genome.
GGGUAGUUACCAGAGAGGUCAAAUGGGGCUGACUGUAACUCAGCUGGUGUAUACCUUCGGUGGUUCGAAUCCAUCACUACCCA